GACGAACGCUGGCGGCGUGCCUAAUACAUGCAAGUUGAGCGCUGAAGGUUGGUACUUGUACCAACUGGAUGAGCAGCGAACGGGUGAGUAACGCGUGGGGAAUCUGCCUUUGAGCGGGGGACAACAUUUGGAAACGAAUGCUAAUACCGCAUAAAAACUUUAAACACAAGUUUUAAGUUUGAAAGAUGCAAUUGCAUCACUCAAAGAUGAUCCCGCGUUGUAUUAGCUAGUUGGUGAGGUAAAGGCUCACCAAGGCGAUGAUACAUAGCCGACCUGAGAGGGUGAUCGGCCACAUUGGGACUGAGACACGGCCCAAACUCCUAAGGGAGGCAGCAGUAGGGAAUCUUCGGCAAUGGACGAAAGUCUGACCGAGCAACGCCGCGUGAGUGAAGAAGGUUUUCGGAUCGUAAAACUCUGUUGGUAGAGAAGAACGUUGGUGAGAGUGGAAAGCUCAUAAAGUGACGGUAACUACCCAGAAAGGGACGGCUAACUACGU
rnacentral:rRNA from 1 species